UAUAGAAAACACCGAAAUAGCAAUGUUCAGUACUAUAAGGGGUGUUAGCAUUCAGCAUCAGCAGAUAUAACAACGAUUACAGCAUGCAAAUAAGUAAUGUCAAGUCAAUAAUCUAUCCACCGCAAACAUUCCUGCCCGGCCAUGUCAUUAUAUGUAUUUCGCUUGCUUUAAUAUAUUACAUCAUCAUCGAGACCAUAUUCCAUGUUUUUCAAUAGUUUCAACCAAUAGGAUUCUAGAUUUCUGUCCUAUUUUUCUUCACUUCAAUUCUUCAACUGUCACGUCAUCGCGAGAUCAGAAUAAAAAAAACAACUUGAGCUACAAGAUCAGGUUUCAAUCAAUUGUUCAGAAAAUCCACAAAAACCGAGUUGGUUGACGUCUUUCACAUUCAGAGUUUUGGUUGGUGUUGGAGACAGAUCUGAAUCCUGCGGCAGGCAGUCAGUGGCAAUCGAGCGAAUUAAAGUUCACUUGCAAAGUUAAGAAAAGAACGAUUCUCAAGAGUAGAGCACCAUGGGGUUUUCUCUGGUAAGGCGCAACAGCAGCAAGAGGAGGAGCUUCCGUCGCACAGAAAACAGAGAUCGUAACAGUGAAACAAAUUCAACCAGGUCAACAUCGAGUCAAGCCAAUAACACCAGUAAUCGUGCCAGUAGAGAAAUUGGAAGUGUUUUAAGAAGAAUUGGCGAUCAGCUCAAUAAUAGUCAACUGAGUCUUAACACUGCUCUAUGACCGACAAAAAACAUUGGACAUAGCAAAACAAGUUUAAUACUGUAUUGUUUCUAUCAGAACAGUAAGUUAAUAUCAUCCUCAAGUUAGAAAAUUGACAACUUCAGUAAUUGAUGUUUAAAUGAAGAAGAUGAAUUGACUUGAUGAAAGGAAAAUUACCAUCAUCACAAGAACCACCAACAGUAAUCAGAAUAAUUAUUCUCGAACUAAAAACUAUAGUAAAAAUAUUUCAUACAUUGAUGAGGUUCUUAAGGAUUAUUAUUUCACUCAUUAAAGAUUGUAAAAAACAUUAAUGAUAAAUAUUUGAUGUUUUGUUUCAUAUAAAAGAUAUGUUUCAGUUAAAUGAAAAAACAUACAUAAUUGAUGAUUAAUGAUAAAGAAAAUGCACUCACAAAAUCAUACUUAAUUUGUCCAAAAAACUAUAAAGGAACAUUCAUGCAAGAAACCUUCCUAUAGAAAGAUCAAGUUUAAAAACUCUUAAUGUAGUUUUGUAACAAUUGAAUAAAUGUUUAGCUAAAAAUU